NNNNUACUCCCUCCGUCCGGAAUUACUUCUAGUGGAAAUGGAUGUAUCUAGAUGUAUUUUAGUUCUAGAGGCAUCCAUUUUUGCAAGAAGUAAUUCAGGAUGGAGGGAGUACUCA
rnacentral:pre_miRNA from 1 species